rnacentral:rRNA from 1 species
AGAGUUUGAUCCUGGCUCAGAUUGAACGCUGGCGGCAGGCCUAACACAUGCAAGUCGAGCGGAAACAUUUCUACCUUGCGAUAAGGCGUCGAGCGGCGGACGGGUGAGUAAUGCCUAGGAAAUUGCCCUGAUGUGGGGGAUAACCAUUGGAAACGAUGGCUAAUACCGCAUGAUGCCUACGGGCCAAAGGGGGCUUCGGCUCUCGCGUCAGGAUAUGCCUAGGUGGGAUUAGCUAGUUGGCGAGGUAAGGGCUCACCAAGGCGACGAUCCCUAGCUGGUCUGAGAGGAUGAUCAGCCACACUGGAACUGAGACACGGUCCAGACUCCUACGGGAGGCAGCAGUGGGGAAUAUUGGACAAUGGGCGCAAGCCUGAUCCAGCCAUGCCGCGUGUGUGAAGAAGGCCUUCGGGUUGUAAAGCACUUUCAGUUGGGAGGAAAGGUUAGUCGCUAAUAUCGGCUAGCUGUGACGUUACCAACAGAAGAAGCACCGGCUAACUCCGUGCCAGCAGCCGCGGUAAUACGGAGGGUGCGAGCGUUAAUCGGAAUUACUGGGCGUAAAGCGCAUGCAGGUGGUUUGUUAAGUCAGAUGUGAAAGCCCGGGGCUCAACCUCGGAAUUGCAUUUGAAACUGGCAGACUAGAGUCUGAGAGGGGGGUAGAAUUUCAGGUGUAGCGGUGAAAUGCGUAGAGAUCUGAAGGAAUACCGAUGGCGAAGCAGCCACCUGGGUCAACACUGACGCUCAUGUACGAACAGCGUUGGGGAGCAAACAGGAUUAGAUACCCCUGGUAGGUCCACGCCGUAAACGAUGUCUACUAGCAGCUGUAGUCCCUCGGGCAACUUUUGCAAACCUAACGCAUUAACUACACUGACUGGGGAGUACGGCCGCAAGGUUAAAACUCAAAUGAAUUGACGGGGGCCCGCACAAGCGGUGGAGCAUGUGGUUUAAUUCGAUGCAACGCGAAGAACCUUACCUACACUUGACAUACAGAGAACUUACCAGAGAUGGUUUGGUGCCUUCGGGAACUCUGAUACAGGUGCUGCAUGGCUGUCGUCAGCUCGUGUUGUGAGAUGUUGGGUUAAGUCCCGCAACGAGCGCAACCCUUGUCCUUAGUUACCAGCGGUUAAGCCGGGAACUCUAAGGAUACUGCCAGUGACAAACUGGAGGAAGGCGGGGACGACGUCAAGUCAUCAUGGCCCUUACGACCAGGGCUACACACGUGCUACAAUGGUAGGUACAGAGGGCAGCUACACAGCGAUAGUGAGCGAAUCUCAAAAAGCCUAUCGUAGUCCAGAUUGGAGUCUGCAACUCGACUCCAUGAAGUAGGAAUCGCUAGUAAUCGCGGAUCAGAAUGCCGCGGUGAAUACGUUCCCGGGCCUUGUACACACCGCCCGUCACACCAUGGGAGUUGAUUGCACCAGAAGUGGUUAGCCUAACCUUAGUGAGGGCGAUCACCACGGUGUGGUUGAUGACUGGGGUGAAGUCGUAACAAGGUAGCCGUA